rnacentral:rRNA from 1 species
GAUGAACGCUGACAGAAUGCUUAACACAUGCAAGUCAACUUGAAUUUGGGUUUUUAACUUAGGUUUGGGUGGCGGACGGGUGAGUAACGCGUAAAGAACUUGCCUCACAGCUAGGGACAACAUUUGGAAACGAAUGCUAAUACCUAAUAUUAUGAUAAUAGGGCAUCCUAUAAUUAUGAAAGCUAUAAGCGCUGUGAGAGAGCUUUGCGUCCCAUUAGCUAGUUGGAGAGGUAACGGCUCACCAAGGCGAUGAUGGGUAGCCGGCCUGAGAGGGUGAUCGGCCAAAAGGGGACUGAAACACGGCCCUUACCCCUACGGGAGGCAGCAGGGGGGAAUAUUGGACAAUGGACCGGGAGUUUGAUCCAGCAAUUCUGUGGGCAAAAUGAAGUUUUUCGGAAUUAAAAGUGUUUUCAGUUGGGAAGAAAAAAAGGACGGUACCAACAGAAGAAGGGACGGCUAAAUACGU